rnacentral:rRNA from 1 species
GGGAAGGGAGGCUACCAUGCAGUCGAGCGGAUGAGGGAGCUUGCUCCUGGAUUUAGCGGCGGACGGGUGAGUAAUGCCUAGGAAUCUGCCUAGUGGUGGGGGAUAACGUUCCGAAAGGAACGCUAAUACCGCAUACGUCCUACGGGAGAAAGCGGGGGAUCUUCGGACCUCGCGCCAUUAGAUGAGCCUAGGUCGGAUUAGCUAGUUGGUGAGGUAAUGGCUCACCAAGGCUACGAUCCGUAACUGGUCUGAGAGGAUGAUCAGUCACACUGGAACUGAGACACGGUCCAGACUCCUACGGGAGGCAGCAGUGGGGAAUAUUGGACAAUGGGCGAAAGCCUGAUCCAGCCAUGCCGCGUGUGUGAAGAAGGUCUUCGGAUUGUAAAGCACUUUAAGUUGGGAGGAAGGGCAGUAAAUUAAUACUUUGCUGUUUUGACGUUACCGACAGAAUAAGCACCGGCUAACUUCGUGCCAGCAGCCGCGGUAAUACGAAGGGUGCAAGCGUUAAUCGGAAUUACUGGGCGUAAAGCGCGCGUAGGUGGUUCGGUAAGAUGGAAGUGAAAGCCCCGGGCUCAACCUGGGAACUGCUUUCAUAACUGCCGAGCUAGAGUACGGUAGAGGGUAGUGGAAUUUCCUGUGUAGCGGUGAAAUGCGUAGAUAUAGGAAGGAACACCAGUGGCGAAGGCGACUACCUGGACUGAUACUGACACUGAGGUGCGAAAGCGUGGGGAGCAAACAGGAUUAGAUACCCUGGUAGUCCACGCCGUAAACGAUGUCAACUAGCCGUUGGAAUCCUUGAGAUUUUAGUGGCGCAGCUAACGCAUUAAGUUGACCGCCUGGGGAGUACGGCCGCAAGGUUAAAACUCAAAUGAAUUGACGGGGGCCGCACAGCGGGGGAGCAUGUGGUUUAUUCGAGCACGCGAAGAACCUUACCUGGCCUUGACAUGC